rnacentral:rRNA from 1 species
AAAGUAGGCGAACGGCUGAGUAACACGUGGGCAACCUGCCCUUUGCACUGGGAUAGCCUCGGGAAACCGAGGUUAAUACCGGAUACUCCAUAUUUGUCGCAUGGCGAAUAUGGAAAGCUCCGGCGGCAAAGGAUGGGCCCGCGGCCUGUUAGCUAGUUGGUGGGGUAGUGGCCUACCAAGGCAAUGAUGGGUAGCCGGGUUGAGAGACCGACCGGCCAGAUUGGGACUGAGACACGGCCCAGACUCCUACGGGAGGCAGCAGCC